UACAUGCAAGUCGAACGGCAGCACAGGAGAGCUUGCUCUCUGGGUGGCGAGUGGCGGACGGGUGAGGAAUACAUCGGAAUCUACUUUUUCGUGGGGGAUAACGUAGGGAAACUUACGCUAAUACCGCAUACGACCUACGGGUGAAAGCAGGGGAUCUUCGGACCUUGCGCGAUUGAAUGAGCCGAUGUCGGAUUAGCUAGUUGGCGGGGUAAAGGCCCACCAAGGCGACGAUCCGUAGCUGGUCUGAGAGGAUGAUCAGCCACACUGGAACUGAGACACGGUCCAGACUCCUACGGGAGGCAGCAGUGGGGAAUAUUGGACAAUGGGCGCAAGCCUGAUCCAGCCAUACCGCGUGGGUGAAGAAGGCCUUCGGGUUGUAAAGCCCUUUUGUUGGGAAAGAAAUCCAGCUGGUUAAUACCCGGUUGGGAUGACGGUACCCAAAGAAUAAGCACCGGCCAACUUCGUGCCAGCAGCCGCGGUAAUACGAAGGGUGCAAGCGU
rnacentral:rRNA from 1 species